rnacentral:rRNA from 1 species
AUUGAACGCUGGCGGCACGCUUAACACAUGCAAGUCGAACGGUAGCAGAUCUCGCUUGCGAGAUGCUGACGAGUGGCGGACGGGUGAGUAACACGUAGGAAUCUACCUUAGAGAUGGGGAUAACCAUAGGAAACUGUGGCUAAUACCGAGUAAGCCCUUCGGGGUGAAGGUCGCCUUUUAGGCAGUCGCUCUAAGCUGAGCCUGCGUUGGAUUAGCUAGUUGGUUGGGUAAAGGCUGACCAAGGCGACGAUCCAUAGCUGUUCUGAGAGGAAGAUCAGCCACACUGGGACUGAGACACGGCCCAG